GAUGAACGCUGGCGGCGUGCCUAAUACAUGCAAGUCGAGCGAACGGACGAGAAGCUUGCUUCUCUGAUGUUAGCUGCGGACGGGUGAGUAACACGUGGAUAACCUACCUAUAAGACUGGGAUAACUUCGGGAAACCGGAGCUAAUACCGGAUGAUAUUUUGAACCGCAUGGUUCAAAAGUGAAAGACGGUCUUGCUGUCACUUAUAGAUGGAUCCGCGCUGCAUUAGCUAGUUGGUAAGGUAACGGCUUACCAAGGCAACGAUGCAUAGCCGACCUGAGAGGGUGAUCGGCCACACUGGAACUGAGACACGGUCCAGACUCCUACGGGAGGCAGCAGUAGGGAAUCUUCCGCAAUGGGCGAAAGCCUGACGGAGCAACGCCGCGUGAGUGAUGAAGGUCUUCGGAUCGUAAAACUCUGUUAUUAGGGAAGAACAUAUGUGUAAGUAACUGUGCACAUCUUGACGGUACCUAAUCAGAAAGCCACGGCUAACUACGUG
rnacentral:rRNA from 1 species